CGAAUGCUUUAUAAAAGAUUCAUCGCUGCCUCAAGCAGCCUGCCACCCUGCCAUAUUCCGGGUUGUUGAUGAGAUGUUCAGGUGUGCACUCCUGGAAACCGAUGGGGCCCCGGAAAUCAUAGCCACUAUUCAGGUGUUUACGCAGUGCUUUGUAGAAGCUCUGGAGAAAGAAAGCAAGCAGCUGCGGUUUGCACUCAAGACCUACUUUCCUUACACUUCUCCAUCUCUUGCCAUGGUGCUGCUGCGAGACCCUCAAGAUAUCCCUCGGGGACACUGGCUCCAGACACUGAAGCAUAUUUCUGAACUGCUCAGAGAAGCAGUUGAAGACCAGACUCAUGGGUCCCGCGGAGGUCCCUUUGAGAGCUGGUUCCUGUUCAUUCACUUUGGAGGAUGGGCUGAGAUGGUGGCAGAGCAGUUACUGAUGUCGGCAGCCGAACCCCCCACGGCCCUGCUGUGGCUCUUGGCCUUCUACUACGGCCCCCGUGACGAGAGGCAGCAGAGAGCACAGACUAUGGUCAGUUCCUGGCAUGGUGCCCUGACUGCUUGGUGAGCAAGACGAAAGAAAGUCAAGAAAUUUCCAUUCCGCCCAUUUGGGUUUGUGUGAAAUCGAGUGUAAACUCGGCCACUGCCUAGCUCCCUCUCUCAGGGGCCAGUCCUUACCCCUUUCUGGGGGUUGUUUC
rnacentral:sRNA from 1 species